rnacentral:rRNA from 1 species
GACGAACGCUGGCGGCGUGCCUAAUACAUGCAAGUCGAACGCUUCUUUCCUCCCGAGUGCUUGCACUCAAUUGGAAAGAGGAGUGGCGGACGGGUGAGUAACACGUGGGUAACCUACCCAUCAGAGGGGGAUAACACUUGGAAACAGGUGCUAAUACCGCAUAACAGUUUAUGCCGCAUGGCAUAAGAGUGAAAGGCGCUUUCGGGUGUCGUUGAUGGAUGGACCCGCGGUGCAUUAGCUAGUUGGUGAGGUAACGGCUCACCAAGGCCACGAUGCAUAGCCGACCUGAGAGGGUGAUCGGCCACACUGGGACUGAGACACGGCCCAGACUCCUACGGGAGGCAGCAGUAGGGAAUCUUCGGCAAUGGACGAAAGUCUGACCGAGCAACGCCGCGUGAGUGAAGAAGGUUUUCGGAUCGGAAAACUCUGUUGUUAGAGAAGAACAAGGACGUUAGUAACUGAACGUCCCCUGACGGUAUCUAACCAGAAAGCCACGGCUAACUACGUG